rnacentral:rRNA from 1 species
UUUCCCUACGGGGGGAGCAGUAGGGAAUUUUCGUCAAUGGGCGCAAGCCUGAACGAGCGAUGCCGCGUGAGUGAAGAAGGCCUUCGGGUCGUAAAGCUCUGUUGCGGGGGAAAAAAGGCAGCAUCAGGAAAUGGGUGCUGACUGAUGGUGCCCCGCCAGAAAGUCACGGCUAACUACGUGCCAGCAGCCGCGGUAAUACGUAGGUGGCGAGCGUUAUCCGGAAUGAUUGGGCGUAAAGGGUGCGCAGGCGGUCCUGCAAGUCUGGAGUGAAACUCAUGAGCUCAACUCAUGCAUGGAUUUGGAAA